AGUGAACGCUGGCGGUAGGCCUAACACAUGCAAGUCGAACGGCAGCACAGUAAGAGCUUGCUCUUACGGGUGGCGAGUGGCGGACGGGUGAGGAAUACAUCGGAAUCUACUUUUUCGUGGGGGAUAACGUAGGGAAACUUACGCUAAUACCGCAUACGACCUACGGGUGAAAGCAGGGGAUCUUCGGACCUUGCGCGAUUGAAUGAGCCGAUGUCGGAUUAGCUAGUUGGCGGGGUAAAGGCCCACCAAGGCGACGAUCCGUAGCUGGUCUGAGAGGAUGGUCCGCCACAGGAGAACUGAGACACGGUCCAGACUUCAGCGAGGGGCAGGAGUGGAAAAUAGUGGACAAGGGGCGAAAGUCUGAUACAGCCAUACCGCGUGAGUGAAGAACGCCUUGGGGGUGAAGCCCUUUUGUUGGGAAAGAAAAGCAGCAGGUUAAUACCCCGCUGUUCUGACGGUACCCAAAGAAUAAGCACCGGCUAACUUCGUG
rnacentral:rRNA from 1 species